rnacentral:rRNA from 1 species
AGAGUUUGAUCCUGGCUCAGAACGUACGCUGGCGGCACGCCUAACACAUGCAAGUCGAACGAAGUAGCAAUACUUAGUGGCAGACGGGUGAGUAACAUGUAGGUAUCUGCCCUUUGGCCUGGAAUAACACGAGGAAACUUGUGCUAAUACCGGAUAAGUCUUUACGGAGAAAGCUUUAUGCACCAUUGGAUGAGCCUGCACUUGAUUAGUUUGUUGGUGGGGUAAUGGCCUACCAAGACUGUGAUCAAUAGCUGAUUUGAGAGGAUGAUCAGCCACAUUGGGACUGAGACACGGCCCAAACUCCUACGGGAGGCAGCAGUGGGGAAUCUUGCACAAUGGAGGAAACUCUGAUGCAGCGAUGCCGCGUGAGUGAAGAAGGCCCUUGGGUUGUAAAGCUCUUUCGUCGGGGAAGAAAAUGACUGUACCCGAAUAAGAAGGUCCGGCUAACUUCGUGCCAGCAGCCGCGGUAAUACGAAGGGACCUAGCGUAGUUCGGAAUUACUGGGCUUAAAGAGUUCGUAGGUGGUUGAAAAAGUUGGUGGUGAAAUCCCAGAGCUUAACUCUGGAACUGCCAUCAAAACUUUUCAGCUAGAGUAUGAUAGAGGAAAGCAGAAUUUCUAGUGUAGAGGUGAAAUUCGUAGAUAUUAGAAAGAAUACCAAUUGCGAAGGCAGCUUUCUGGAUCAUUACUGACACUGAGGAACGAAAGCAUGGGUAGCGAAGAGGAUUAGAUACCCUCGUAGUCCAUGCCGUAAACGAUGUGUGUUAGACGUUGGAAAUUUAUUUUCAGUGUCGCAGGGAAACCGAUAAACACACCGCCUGGGGAGUACGACCGCAAGGUUAAAACUCAAAUGAAUUGACGGGGACCCGCACAAGUAGUGGAGCAUGUGGUUUAAUUCGAAGAUACGCGCAGAACCUUACCAACACUUGACAUGUUCGUCGCGACUCUAAGAGAUUAGAGUUUUCGGUUCGGCCGGACGAAACACAGGUGCUGCAUGGCUGUCGUCAGCUCGUGUCGUGAGAUGUUGGGUUAAGUCCCGCAACGAGCGCAACCCUCACUUUUAGUUGCCAUCAUUAAGUUGGGCACUCUGAAAGAACUGCCAGUGAUAAGCUGGAGGAAGGUGGGGAUGACGUCAAGUCCUCAUGGCCCUUACGUGUUGGGCUACACACGUGCUACAAUGG